GAUGAACGCUGGCGGCGUGCCUAAUACAUGCAAGUCGAGCGAACAGACGGGGAGCUUGCUCCUCUGACGUUAGCGGCGGACGGGUGAGUAACUUGUGGAUAACCUACCUAUAAGACUGGGAUUACUUCGGGAAACGGGCGCUAAUACCGGGUAAUAUAUUGAACGGCAUGGUUCAAUAGUGAAAGACGGGUUGGCUGUCUCUUAUAGAUGGAUCCGCGCCGCAUUAGCUAGUUGGUAAGGUAACGGCUUACCAAGGCAGCCAGGCGUAGGCGACCUGAGAGGGAGAUCGGCCACCCUGGAAGUGAGACACGGUCGAGACUCCGACGGUAGGCAGCAGUAGGGAAUCUUCCGCGAGGGGCGAGAGCGUGACGGAGCAGCGCCGGGUGAGUGAUGAAGGAGUUCUGAUCGUAAAACGAUGUUAGUAGGAAAGAAGAAAUGUGUAAGUAACUAUGCACGUCUUGACGGUACCUAAUCAGAAAGCCACGGCUAACUACGUG
rnacentral:rRNA from 1 species